rnacentral:rRNA from 1 species
UACGGGAGGCAGCAGUGGGGAAUCUUGCGCAAUGGGCGAAAGCCUGACGCAGCCAUGCCGCGUGAAUGAUGAAGGUCUUAGGAUUGUAAAAUUCUUUCACCGGGGACGAUAAUGACGGUACCCGGAGAAGAAGCCCCGGCUAACUUCGUGCCAGCAGCCGCGGUAAUACGAAGGGGCUAGCGUUGCUCGGAAUUACUGGGCGUAAAGGGAGCGUAGGCGGACAUUUAAGUCAGGGGUGAAAUCCCGGGGCUCAACCUCGGAAUUGCCUUUUGAUACUGGGUGUCUUGAGUAUGAGAGAGGUGUGUGGAACUCCGAGUGUAGAGGUGAAAUUCGUAGAUAUUCGGAAGAACACCAGUGGCGAAGGCGACACACUGGCUCAUUACUGACGCUGAGGCUCGAAAGCGUGGGGAGCAAACAGGGAUUAGAUACCCGU